rnacentral:rRNA from 1 species
CAGUCGCCACGGGAAUACAGAGGAUGCAAGCGCUAUCCGGAAUAAUUGGGCGUAAAGGGCUCGCAGGCGGUUUCUUAAGUCUGAUGUGAAAGCCCCCGGCUCAACCGGGGAGGGUCAUUGGAAACUGGGAAACUUGAGUGCAGAAGAGGAGAGUGGAAUUCCACGUGUAGCGGUGUAAUGCGUAGAGAUGUGGAGGAACACCAGUGGCGAAGGCGACUCUCUGGUCUGUAACUGACGCUGAGGAGCGAAAGCGUGGGGAGCGAACAGGAUUAGAGACCCCAGUAGUCCCUGUUUCUUAUAC